GGGUGUCAGCUGCCAACAAGUAGCUCGGGUGUCUGGGCCGCUCCUGAAUGGUCACAAGCUGACACACUGUCUUCUGACAAAAGACUGCUCACUAGAAGCUCAGCCCAAAUAUGUUAGAGGUGGGAAGCGUUACGGACGAAGGUCCUUGCCCGAGUUCCAAGAGUCCGUGGAGGAGUUUGCCGAAGUGACGGUGAUUGAGCCACUGGAUGAAGAAGCGCGGCCUUCACACAUCCCAGCCAGUGACUGCAGUGAGUGUGAUAAAGCAGCUCGAACACUUGGUUUUUGCCUCAAGAUACUGAGCCUGGAGCGCUUUCCAGUGCCCAGCAGUUGCCGUGGUUCUUUCUGCUGGAUUCCUUGCACCCAGGCCUGUCUCAUUCUCCAGCAUGCAGAGAGUCGCCAGCCUCCCUCAUCCCCCAUCUUUUCAUUUUGCAUAUUGCCAUAAUCUACCAAUAAAGGAGGUUCAGU
rnacentral:sRNA from 1 species